AAAAUACUGAAACUCGCUAGACUCGGGGGGUGCAAAGCAUCCCGUUUUGUUGGCUCGGUAAAGUCGCCUGUGCGCUGCGGUGCGUCGCGCAUGCGUGCGCGCAUGCGCAGUCGUAGCGAGCGACAAGCUAGCAGCGGUAGCUUCUGACGCGCAUCCCGGCUACGUUCUUCUUGUUUCGAGCGUCCUCGCAGAGUACUCGUCGUCGUGGUGCGUUCCGACUUCCUUCCGAUGAGAGCAUCCCGGCUCUCCCGGGACCGCCUGGGCUCGCGAUCCCGUCGCGAGAUCCAGCUUUCACGACGGAAGCGUGGCUUCGGAAUCGCUCGUGGCGACGACGUGCGACGCGACACGCCUCCGAGUUCGCCGACACCCUAACCCUUCGGAGAUAGAUCGCGAGGGUCUUUCUCCCAUCCUGAGGCUUUUCGACGAAAUUGAAUGAUAACAAACCUAUCGUGAUCUUUUUUUCCCCCCUGUACAGAUUUAUUAUACAAUAAAUUUAUCAUAACCAAUCCUUUGGAACGCUCGGAGUUUCGAGGCGAAUGAAUUUUUCAAGCUUUUUAGUAUUUUGUAAGCAAAGUUGGAAUUUUAAUUCCCGUCGCUUCUUCCGAAUUCUUUUGACGUACUCUGUCUGAUUUUCGAGAGAUUAAAAAUUAGGUAGUUUGCGGGAUUUGAAUUUUUUCAAAUGGAAUUCCUUUCUCAGGCGGCUCCUUUCUCGGAACGGUUGCAAAGAUGAUUGAGGAUGAAAGAGGAUAAUAUACUUCAUAAGAGAUCGGAGAUGAUAACAUUAUUCACGAGACGAGAAUCCCUAUUAUUAAUACCAGUUUGAUUAGAGUCUUGUUACAAGUUGCUUAUCUUAUCAUUUUAAUCCCGGUACAGUGUUAUAAUAUUAUCACAAUUUAAUGAUUACGUUCUUGCAAACAUUUUCUCUUGAUCUAUACUUUAAACAGACCCAACCAGAAAUGUAAAAAAAAAA